CAAUAGCGUAUAUUAAAGUUGUUGCGGUUGAAAAGCUCGUAGUUGGAUUUUCACCAAGAAAGACCGGUCUCGUCUGAGAACCUGGUUCUAUCGCGGUGCUUCUUGAUGAAGAGUGGUCACUUGAACGUGCUGCUCAUACUUCAGGGCCUUUACUUUGAGGAAAUUAGAGUGUUUCAAGCAGGCGACUGCCUUGAAUAUUUUAGCAUAGAAUAAUAGGAGAGGACUGCGGUCCUACUUUUGUUGGUUUCUGGGAUUGCAGUAAUUGUUAAUAGGGAUAGUCGGGGGCAUUCGUACUUAACUGUCAGAGGUGGAAUUUUGGAUUUGUUAAAGACGGACUACUGCGAAAGCAUUUGCCAAGGAUGUUUUCAUUG
rnacentral:rRNA from 1 species